rnacentral:rRNA from 1 species
UUACCACACCUAAAAAACUUUCCACGUGAACCGUAUCAACCCACUUAGUUGGGGGCUAGUCCCGGCGGCUGGCUGUCGAUGUCAAAGUUGACGGCUGCUGCUGUGUGUCGGGCCCUAUCAUGGCGAGCGUUUGGGUCCCUCUCGGGGGAACUGAGCCAGUAGCCCUUAUUUUUUAAACCCAUUCUUGAAUACUGAAUAUACUGUGGGGACGAAAGUCUCUGCUUUUAACUAGAUAGCAACUUUCAGCAGUGGAUGUCUAGGCUCGCACAUCGAUGAAGAACGCUGCGAACUGCGAUACGUAAUGCGAAUUGCAGGAUUCAGUGAGUCAUCGAAAUUUUGAACGCAUAUUGCACUUCCGGGUUAGUCCUGGGAGUAUGCCUGUAUCAGUGUCCGUACAUCAAACUUGGCUCUCUUCCUUCCGUGUAGUCGGUGGAUGGGGACGCCAGACGUGAGGUGUCUUGCGGGUGGUCUUCGGGCUGCCUGCGAGUCCCUUGAAAUGUACUGAACUGUACUUCUCUUUGCUCGAAAAGCGUGACGUUGUUGGUUGUGGAGGCUGCCUGUGUGGCCAGUCGGCGACCGGUUUGUCUGCUGCGGCGUUUAAUGGAGGAGUGUUCGAUUCGCGGUAUGGUUGGCUUCGGCUGAACAAUGCGCUUAUUGGACGUUCUUCCUGCUGUGGCGGUACGGAUCGGUGAACCGUA